UACAGUCAAUGCUUCACCUAAACUAGAAGACAGGCCUAACAGGCAUACAACACAAACUCCAGUAAGGUCCUCACAUUAAAAUUGACCUAAAAUGUAACAAUAUCCAUCAGCUUCAAGUUUCCGGCCUCAUAAUUAGGCAUUGGGUAAUUGGUGUUUUCCAUUCUC